rnacentral:rRNA from 1 species
GACGAACGCUGGCGGCGUGCCUAAUACAUGCAAGUAGAACGCUGAAGAGAGGAGCUUGCUCUUCUUGGAUGAGUUGCGAACGGGUGAGUAACGCGUAGGUAACCUGCCUUGUAGCGGGGGAUAACUAUUGGAAACGAUAGCUAAUACCGCAUAACAAUGGAUGACACAUGUCAUUUAUUUGAAAGGGGCAAUUGCUCCACUACAAGAUGGACCUGCGUUGUAUUAGCUAGUAGGUGAGGUAACGGCUCACCUAGGCGACGAUACAUAGCCGACCUGAGAGGGUGAUCGGCCACACUGGGACUGAGACACGGCCCAGACUCCUACGGGAGGCAGCAGUAGGGAAUCUUCGGCAAUGGGGGCAACCCUGACCGAGCAACGCCGCGUGAGUGAAGAAGGUUUUCGGAUCGUAAGCUCUGUUGUAAGUCAAGAACGAGU